rnacentral:rRNA from 1 species
GGUUUGAUUCUGGCUCAGAUUGAACGCUGGCAGGAUGCUUGCACAUGCAAGUCGAACGGCAGCACGGACUUCGGUCUGGUGGCGAGUGGCGAACGGGUGAGUAAUGUAUCGGAACGUGCCUGGUAGCGGGGGGAUAACGUACGCGGCGUGGCCGCGUGCGCCGCCCUUCGGGGAGAAAGCGGGGGGACCUUCGGGCCUCGCACUAUUGGACGGCGAUAUCGGAUUAGCUAGUUGGUGGGGUAACGGCUCACCCAGGCGACUGAUCCGUAGCUGGUUUGAAGAGGACGACCAGCCACACUGGGACUGAGACACGACCCGAACUCCUGAGGAGGCGACAGUGGGGAAUUUUGGACAAUGGAAACCCUGGUCUUAGCCAUCCGCGUGUGCGAUGAAGGCGUUUCCGGGUUGUCAAAAGCACUUUUGGCAGGAAGAAACAGCUGGGGAUAAUACCCCGUGCAACUGACAGCCUGCAGAAUAAGCACCGGCUAACUACGUGCCAGCAACCGCGGUAAUACGUAGUGCAAGCGUUAAUCAAUGGGAUUACUGGGCGUAAGACGUGCGCAGGCGGUUCGGAAGAAAGAUGUGAAAUCCCCAGAGCUUAACGCGGAACUGCAUUUUUUAACUACCGAGCUAGAGUGUGUCAGAGGAGGUGGAAUUCACGCGAUGUAGCAGUGAAAUGCGUAGAUAUGCGGAGGAACACCGAUGGCGAAGGCAGCCUCCUGGGAUAACACUGACGCUCAUGCGAAAGCGUGGGAGCAGGCAAGUUGGAUACCCUGGUAGUCCACGCCUAAACGAUGUCAACUAGCUGUUGGGGCCUUCGGGCCUUGGUGAGCGCAAUAACGCGUGAAGUUGACCGCCUGGGAAGUACGGUCGUAAGAUUAAAACUCGAGAAAUUGACGGGGACCGCACAAGCGGUGGAUGAUGUGGAUUAAUUCGAUGCAACGCGAAAAGGCAGCUUACCUACCCUUGACAUGUCUGGAAUCCCGAAGAGAUUUGGAGUGCUCGCAGAGAACGAACACCGGAGUGCUGCAUGGCUGUCGUCAGCUCGUGUCGUGAGAUGUUGGGUUAAGUCCCGCAGGCGAACCCUUGUCAUUAGUUGCUACGAAAGGGCACUCGUGGACGCUGCCGGUGACAAACCGGAGGAAGGUGGGGAUGACGUCAGUCCUCGACCUUAUGGUGGGAGCUACGUCAUACGGAACGUGGUCGGGACAGAGGGUCGCCAACCCGCGAGGAGCCGUCCCAGAAACCCGAUCGUAGUCCGGAUCGCAGUCUGCAACUCGACUGCGUGAAGUCGGAAUCGCUAGUAAUCGCGGAUCAGCAUGUCGCGGUGAAUACGUUCCCGGGUCUUGUUUACCGCCCGUCACACCAUGGAGUGGGUUUUACCAGAAGUGAUUAGCCUAACCGUAAGGGCGAUUACCACCGGUAGGAUUCAUGACGGGGUAAAGUCGUAACAAGGUAA